UACGGAGGGUGCAAGCGUUAUCCGGAUUUACUGGGUUUAAAGGGUGCGUAGGCGGAUAUUUAAGUCAGAGGUGAAAUCUCCGAGCUCAACUCGGAAACUGCCUUUGAUACUAUUUAUCUUGAAUUUCGUUGAGGUUGGCGGAAUAUAUCAUGUAGCGGUGAAAUGCAUAGAUAUGAUAUAGAACACCGAUUGCGAAGGCAGCUAACUAAACGAAUAUUGACGCUGAGGCACGAAAGCGUGGGGAGCGAACAGG
rnacentral:rRNA from 1 species